rnacentral:rRNA from 1 species
GAUGAACGCUGGCGGCGUGCCUAAUACAUGCAAGUCGAGCGAACAGACGAGGAGCUUGCUCCUCUGACGUUAGCGGCGGACGGGUGAGUAACACGUGGAUAACCUACCUAUAAGACUGGGAUAACUUCGGGAAACCGGAGCUAAUACCGGAUAAUAUAUUGAACCGCAUGGUUCAAUAGUGAAAGACGGUUUUGCUGUCACUUAUAGAUGGAUCCGCGCCGCAUUAGCUAGUUGGUAAGGUAACGGCUUACCAAGGCAACGAUGCGUAGCCGACCUGAGAGGGUGAUCGGCCACACUGGAACUUAGACACGGUCCAGACUCCUACGGGAGGCAGCAGUAGGGAAUCUUCCGCAAUGGUCGAAAGCCUGACGGAGCAACGCCGCGUGAGUGAUGAAGGUCUUCGGAUCGUAAAACUCUGUUAUUAGGGAAGAACAAAUGUGUAAGUAACUAUGCACGUCUUGACGGUACCUAAUCAGAAAGCCACGGCUAACUACGUG